rnacentral:rRNA from 1 species
UACAGGGGGUGCAAACGUUGCUCGGAAUCGAUUGGCGUAAAGCGCACGUAGGCGGUUCGUUAUGUCGGAUGUGAAAGCCCUUGGCUUAACCGAGGAAGUGCAUCCGAAACUGGCGAGCUAGAGUACGAAAGAGGAUCGCGGAAUUCCCGGUGUAGAGGUGAAAAUUCGUAGAUAUCGGGAGGAACACCGGUGGCGAAGGCGGCGAUCUGGGUCGAUACUGACGCUGAGGUGCGAAAGCGUGGGGAGCAAACAGG